AAAUAAUCAAGGCACAGAACCUAGUAUAUUUUUUUCAUCUAGUAAAGAGAGCUGAUGGUUGGUGAAAAUCAGUGUUGGAAAAAAUAGAAUCCAGUUCUUUAACGUGUAUUUUUCGAAAGAAAAAUCGUUGGCUCACGAUACGAGCAGCAAGGGCAGCGCAAGCUGAACUUGGGUGGCACCGCGAAUGGUCAUUUCGUCCCAAGC
rnacentral:ncRNA from 1 species